AAUACCCGAACCAAAAAAACGGG
rnacentral:snRNA from 1 species